rnacentral:tRNA from 1 species
GCCCUACUGGUCUAACGGCAAUGAUGUCUGACUUCCAAUCAGAGGAUACCGGUUCAACUCCGGUGUGGGGCUCCA